rnacentral:lncRNA from 1 species
GACAUAAGAAAUCAUUUCCUCUAUUGAAUGUAGGACAUUAGUACAUAAUUUCAAACAUUAUUUUGUCCAUGUAAUACAAUGCUAGAGUUCAUACACCGGCUGGAAGAGGGUGCUAUUAGACUCAAUCGCCCCUGCAACUGAGGUCACGUUCAAUCACAUACCCCCACAUCUUAUCGCGUUUUACUCCAUCCCAUAGACAUCAAUCUCUGCUCAUAUUCCAUGGAUUGUCUUUGGAUAAGAUUGUUGAUCGUAGUAAUCACAAACACUUGAUGAGGGACCUACAAUAAGCACGGUCAUCUAGUAUUUAUGAUUACUAUAGUAAACAAUCUUACCCAAAAACAGUCUCAUGGAAUAUGAGCAGAGAUUGUUGCUUAUGGGAUGGAGUUAAAUGCGAUGAGACGUCGGGCCAAGUGAUUGAACUUGACAUCAGUUGUAGCCUGUGGGGAUGAUGAUGGAUUCCAAUAGCACCCUCUUCGAGCUCUCUCAUCUUCAAAGGCUCUACCUUUCUUGGAAUAACUUACCCAAUUCUUACACCUCAGACGAUAGAUGACUUCAUCUGUAUUCUAAUAAGAAGUGUGGUUGGAAGAGGGUGAUAUUCGACUCAAUCGUCCCUGCAACUGAGGUCACGUUCAAUCACAUGCCCCAACGUCUUAUUACAUUCACUCCAUCCCAUAGACACCAAUCUCGGCUCAUAUUCCAUGACUUGUCUUUGGAUAAGAUUCCUGACUGUAGUAAUCACAAACACUCGAUGAGGGACCUACCGUAAGCA